GACAGAGGAUGCAAGCGUUAUCCGGAAUCACUGGGCAUAAAGCGUCUGUAGGUGGUUUGAUAAGUCUGCUGUUAAAGACUAGGGCUUAACCCUAGGACAGCAGUGGAAACUGUUAGACUUGAGUAUGGUAGAGGUAGAGGGAAUUCCUAGUGUAGCGGUGAAAUGCGUAGAUAUUAGGAAGAACACCAAUGGCGAAAGCACUCUACUGGGCCACAACUGACACUGAGAGACGACAGCUAGGGGAGCAAAUGGG
rnacentral:rRNA from 1 species